UGACCCCAGGUCAGGCGGGACUACCCGUUGAGUUUAAGCAUAUCAAUAAGUGGAGGAAAAGAAACUUACAAGGAUUCCCCUAGUAAUGACGAGCGAACCGGGAACAGCCCAGCCUUAGAAUCAGGUGGCUCCGUCGUCCAAAUUGUAGUCUAGAGAAGCGUCCUCAGUGGCGGACCGGGCCCAAGUCCCCCUGAAGGGGGCGCCAGAGAGGGUGAGAGCCCCAUUGUGCCCGGAUCCUAUCACACCACGAGGCACUGUCUACGACUCGGGUUGUUUAGGAAUGCAGCCCAAAUCGGGCAGUGAAUUCCGUCCAAAGCUUAAUACAGGCGAGAGACCGAUAGCGAACAAGUACUGCGAAGGAAAUAUGAAAAGGACUUUGAAAAGAGAGUCAAAGAGUGCUUGAAAUUGUCGGGAGGGAACCGGAUGGGGUCGGCGAUACGCCCCGGUUGGAUGUGGAAAGGUGUUGAGCCGGUU
rnacentral:ncRNA from 1 species